CACUCCUGCGGGAGGCAGCAGUGGGGAAUAUUGGACAAUGGGCGCAAGCCUGAUCCAGCCAUGCCGCGUGAGUGAUGAAGGCCCUAGGGUUGUAAAGCUCUUUCACCGGUGAAGAUAAUGACGGUAACCGGAGAAGAAGCCCCGGCUAACUUCGUGCCAGCAGCCGCGGUAAUACGAAGGGGGCUAGCGUUGUUCGGAUUUACUGGGCGUAAAGCGCACGUAGGCGGACUAUUAAGUCAGGGGUGAAAUCCCGGGGCUCAACCCCGGAACUGCCUUUGAUACUGGUAGUCUUGAGUUCGAGAGAGGUGAGUGGAAUUCCGAGGGUAGAGGUGAAAUUCGUAGAUAUUCGGAGGAACACCAGUGGCGAAGGCGGCUCACUGGCUCGAUACUGACGCUGAGGUGCGAAAGCGUGGGGAGCAAACAGGAUUAGAAACCCCGGUAGUCC
rnacentral:rRNA from 1 species